rfam:Glycine max cultivar Williams 82 chromosome 17, whole genome shotgun sequence.
AUAAAAUGACAACGGAUAUCUCGGCUCUUGCAUCGAUGAAGAACGUAGCGAAAUGCGAUACUUGGUGUGAAUUGCAGAAUCCUGUGAACCAUCGAGUCUUUGAACGCAAGUUGCAUCCGAAUUGUAGUCUGGAGAAGCGUCCUCAGUGGCG